rnacentral:rRNA from 1 species
GACGAACGCUGGCGGCGUGCUUAACACAUGCAAGUCGAGCGGUAAGGCCCUUUCGGGGGUACGACGAGCGGCGAACGGGUGAGUAACACGUGGGUGACCUGCCCUCAGCUCUGGGAUAAGCCUGGGAAACCGGGUCUAAUACCGGAUAUGACUCCAUGACGCAUGUUGUGGGGUGGAAAGCCUUGUGCGGCUGAGGAUGGGCCCGGCGGCCUAUCAGCUUGUUGGUGGGGUGAUGGCCUACCAAGGCGACGACGGGUAGCCGGCCUGAGAGGGCGACCGGCCACACUGGGACUGAGACACGGCCCAGACUCCUACAGGAGG